CUCGUUGUUCCUUUUUCCUAUGCAUAUACUUCUUUGAGAAUUGCAUCUAAAGAGGCAUAGGGCAUGGGAAAAUGGGGCGGCUGAGGU
rnacentral:pre_miRNA from 14 species